GGGCCUGGCAAAGGAGCGAGUGCUCCCACCUCUGUGCUGGGACAGAAUGGCCCCGGGACGGGCAGCUGGAGAUCAGAUGCAGACAGCAUGGUUUGGUCAACUGGAUUCAGUGAUUCUCUGGGGAGGGGGCACGUUACAAAACUCUGAUCAAAUUUUAACAGGGGGUGAAAGGUAAGGGGGUUCCAAUGUCAGCACUUUGGUACAGGGAGGGAUUUCUACGGUAGCCACUGUCUGAUUCACGCUCUCUGGGGAUUAGCUUUGGGAAGGGCUAGUCCUUCCAUUCCUUCUUGAUGGUCAGGUUCCACUCCCAGGACAGGUGGUCAGUCUUAUCAUCAUCUGUGAAUUUGGAUUUGAUGUUGUAGCUGCCCCGGGCCAGCAUGCCCUUAGGAGCUUCUUCCAUGGGGGUCAGAAACUCGUAUUCCUCUGCUCGGGGGCCAUAGCUCCCAACCAUGUAUUCAGUCUUGUCAAUUUUCACUCCUUUCCGGAACGUGUGCUGAAUAUACUUCAACCCUGACACAAUCUCCCUGUUAACCCUAAAGGAGAUUUUUAUCCGGUAUUCCACACCUUCCUUCAGCACGAACGCCUGCUUCUUAUAGCUCUCCAGGUCACCUGUCAGGUCCAGCUCCAGAGGGCCAGGAGCAGUAGUACAGACCAAUGUCAGUUUGGUCACCACUACAUUUGGAGCAUUGGGAUCUGCAGUCACGGUGACAGCACCAAGCAGUGCCUCCUUGUACUUGCGCAGGCUCUCAUCAUCCUUGUCCAGCUCCUGGAUCUCCUGGAUGCUCUUCUGGGCAGGUGGCUUAUAGUUGACUGAGUGUUCAUCCUCCUCAUUCUCAGCUGCAAUUUGGGCCAGCUGCUCUGCCGUUGGCUCCUGCUCUGCCAUCCUCACACACGCGAGUUACACCUCCGCGCUGCGGUGACAACGCCGCCGGGAUCCGCCCAGCCGCCCGCGCACCCCCGCACUUCCGGGACACGCCCG
rnacentral:lncRNA from 1 species